GAUGAACGCUGGCGGCGUGCUUAACACAUGCAAGUCGAACGAAGCACUUUAUUUGAUUUCCUUCGGGACUGAUUAUUUUGUGACUGAGUGGCGGACGGGUGAGUAACGCGUGGGUAACCUGCCUUGUACAGGGGGAUAACAGUUGGAAACGGCUGCUAAUACCGCAUAAGCGCACGGCAUCGCAUGAUGCAGUGUGAAAAACUCCGGUGGUAUAAGAUGGACCCGCGUUGGAUUAGCUAGUUGGUGAGGUAACGGCCCACCAAGGCGACGAUCCAUAGCCGACCUGAGAGAGUGACCGGCCACAUUGGGACUGAGACACGGCCCAAACUCCUACGGGAGGCAGCAGUGGGGAAUAUUGCACAAUGGGCGAAAGCCUGAUGCAGCGACGCCGCGUGAGCGAAGAAGUAUUUCGGUAUGUAAAGCUCUAUCAGCAGGGAAGAUAAUGACGGUACCUGACGAAGAAGCACCGGCUAAAUACGUG
rnacentral:rRNA from 1 species